GACGAACGCUGGCGGCGUGCCUAAUACAUGCAAGUCGAACGAGAGCGACCGGUGCUUGCACUGGUCAAUCUAGUGGCGAACGGGUGAGUAACACGUGGGUAACCUGCCCAUCAGAGGGGGAUAACAUCCGGAAACGGAUGCUAAAACCGCAUAGGUCUUCGAGCCGCAUGGCUUGAAGAGGAAAAGAGGCGCAAGCUUCUGCUGAUGGAUGGACCCGCGGUGCAUUAGCUAGUUGGUGAGGUAACGGCUCACCAAGGCCGUGAUGCAUAGCCGACCUGAGAGGGUGAUCGGCCACACUGGGACUGAGACACGGCCCAAACUCCUACGGGAGGCAGCAGUAGGGAAUCUUCCGCAAUGGACGCAAGUCUGACGGAGCAACGCCGCGUGAGUGAAGAAGGUUUUCGGAUCGUAAAACUCUGUUGUUAGAGAAGAACAAGUGCUAGAGUAACUGUUAGCGCCUUGACGGUAUCUAAACAGAAAGCCACGGCUAACUACGUG
rnacentral:rRNA from 1 species